rnacentral:rRNA from 1 species
GAUGAACGCUGGCGGCGUGCCUAAUACAUGCAAGUCGAGCGAACAGACGAGGAGCUUGCUCCUCUGACGUUAGCGGCGGACGGGUGAGUAACACGUGGAUAACCUACCUAUAAGACUGGGAUAACUUCGGGAAACCGGAGCUAAUACCGGAUAAUAUAUUGAACCGCAUGGUUCAAUAGUGAAAGACGGUUUUGCUGUCACUUAUAGAUGGAUCCGCGCCGCAUUAGCUAGUUGGUAAGGUAACGGCUUACCAAGGCAACGAUGCGUAGCCGACCUGAGAGGGUGAUCGGCCCCACUGGAACGGGGACCCGGUCCAGACUCCUACGGGAGGCAGCAGUAGGGAAUCUUCCGAAAUGGGCGAAAGCCUGCCGGAGCAACCCCGCGGGAGUGAUGAAGGUUUUCGGAUCGUAAAACCCUGUUAUUAGGGAAGAACAAAUGUGUAAGUAAAUAUGCACGUCUUGACGGUACCUAAUCAGAAAGCCACGGCUAACUACGUG